rnacentral:rRNA from 1 species
UACGGGGGGGGCAAGCGUUAUUCGGAAUUACUGGGCGUAAAGGGCGCGUAGGCGGCCUACUAAGUCAGACGUGAAAUCCCCCGGCUUAACCUGGGAACUGCGUCUGAUACUGGAAGGCUUGAGGAUGGGAGAGGGAUGUAGAAUUCCAGGUGUAGCGGUGAAAUGCGUAGAUAUCUGGAGGAAUACCGGUGGCGAAGGCGGCAUCCUGGACCAUUACUGACGCUGAGGCGCGAAAGCUAGGGGAGCAAACGGGG